GAGUUUGAUCUUGGCUCAGAUUGAACGCUGGCGGCAGGCCUAACACAUGCAAGUCGGGCGGUAGAGAGAAGCUUGCUUCUCUUGAGAGCGGCGGACGGGUGAGUAAUGCCUAGGAAUCUGCCUGGUAGUGGGGGAUAACGCUCGGAAACGGACGCUAAUACCGCAUACGUCCUACGGGAGAAAGCAGGGGACCUUCGGGCCUUGCGCUAUCAGAUGAGCCUAGGUCGGAUUAGCUAGUUGGUGAGGUAAUGCUCACCAAGGCGACGAUCCGUAACUGGUCUGAGAGGAUGAUCAGUCACACUGGAACUGAGACACGGUCCAGACUCCUACGGGAGCAGCAGUGGGGAAUAUUGGACAAUGGGCGAAAGCCUGAUCCAGCCAUGCCGCGUGUGUGAAGAAGGUCUUCGGAUUGUAAAGCACUUUAAGUUGGGAGGAAGGGCAGUAAAUUAAUACUUUGCUGUUUUGACGUUACCGACAGAAUAAGCACCGGCUAACUCUGUGCCAGCAG
rnacentral:rRNA from 1 species